CAGUGAGGUAGAGGCGCGGUAUUUAACAGUCCAUAGUGGAGUUUGAGAAGGCAAUGAUGCUAUGGAGAAGGAAAUGUCGCCGAAGUGGGUAUUAUUUCUCAAUAAUGCUUGCUGGGUCUGCAGUGAAUAAUUGCAGGACUGUCUCGGUGAACUCCCAAGUUCACCUGAGUUGUGCUAUCUCAUUC
rnacentral:ncRNA from 2 species